GAUCAAGGGCUUAUGGUGGAUACCUAGGCACUCAAAGACGUAAGGAAGGGCGUGGUUACCAACGAAAUGUCUCGUGGAGCUGGAAACAAGCGAGAAAUCGUCCAUUUUGUGUCGAUUUCAUUACUAAGCGAGGAACUUCCCGAAUAGGACAACCUAAUAAUCACAUAAAGAAUUCAUAAUUUAUGUUUGAGGCACCUCUAACCUAGAUGCCUCUGGAAUAUCCAUUACCGAAGCAAACCUAGUGAACUGAAACAUCUUAGUAACUAGAGGAAAAUAAAGCAAAAGCGAUUCCCUUAGUAGCGGCGAGCGAAACGGGACCUUGGCCUAAACCAAUCAUUUGGUGUUGUGGGGUUCUUAG
rnacentral:rRNA from 1 species